AGAGCGAACGCUGGCGGCAGGCCUAACACAUGCAAGUCGAGCGCCCGUAGCAAUACGGGAGCGGCAGACGGGAUAGUAACACGUGGGAACGCGCCCUUCGGUUCGGAAUAACUCAGGGAAACUUGAGCUAAUACCGGAUACGCCCUUACGGGGAAAGAUUUAUUGCCGAAGGAACGGCCCGCGUCCGAUUAGUUAGUUGGCGGGGUAAUGGCCCACCAAGACUGUGAUCGGUAUCC
rnacentral:rRNA from 1 species